UUCCUACGGGGGGCAGCAGUGAGGAAUAUUGGUCAAUGGUCGGGAGACUGGACCAGCCAAGCCGCGUGAGGGAUGAAGGUACAGAGUAUCGUAAACCUCUUUUGUCAGGGAACAAAGGCGGGGACGCGUCCCCGGAUGAGUGUACCUGAAGAAAAAGCAUCGGCUAACUCCGUGCCAGCAGCCGCGGUAAUACGGAGGAUGCGAGCGUUAUCCGGAUUUAUUGGGUUUAAAGGGUGGGCAGGCGGUUUGUUAAGUUAGCGGUCAAAGCCUGGGGCUGAACCACGGACAGGUGUUGAAAAUGGGAG
rnacentral:rRNA from 1 species